rnacentral:rRNA from 1 species
GACGUAGGGCGCGAGCGUUGUCCGGAUUUAUUGGGCGUAAAGAGCUCGUAGGCGGCUUGUCGCGUCGUCCGUGAAAACCCACAGCUCAACUGUGGGCUUGCGGUCGAUACGGGCAGGCUAGAGUUCGGUAGGGGGAGACUGGAAUUCCUGGUGUAGCGGUGAAAUGCGCAGAUAUCAGGAGGAACACCGAUGGCGAAGGCAGGUCUCUGGGCCGCAACUGACACUGAGGAGCAAAAGCAUGGGGACGCGAACGAGG